rnacentral:misc_RNA from 1 species
GAAAUGCGAUAAGUAAUGUGAAUUGCAAAAUUCAGUGAAUCAUCGAAUCUUUGAACGCACCUUGCGCUCCUUGGUAUUCCUUGGAGCAUGCCUGUUUGAGUAUCAUGAAAUCUUCAAAGUAAAUCUGUUGUUAACUCAAUUGGUUUCUACUUUGGUAUUGGAGGUCUUUGCAGCUUCACACCUGCUCCUCUUUGUUCAUUAGCUGGAUCUCAGUGUUAUGCUUGGUUCCACUCGGCGUGAUAAGUUAUCUAUCGCUGAGGACACUGUAAAAGGUGGCCAAGGUAAAUGCAGAUGAACCGCUUCUAAUAGUCCAUUGACUUGGACAAUACUUUUAUGAUCUGAUCUCAAAUCAGGUAGGACUACCCGCUGAACUUAAGC